AACAACUGGUCUCUGAAAUGAACAUAUUUUACAGAAAAAAAGUUCAUAAGUUAUAAUCAUAAAAUACAAUGAAACGGAGACCAGAGACUUUCUUCAUUUUCAAAC